rnacentral:tRNA from 1 species
ACGUUGUUAGUAUAAAUUAUUAUUACAUUUUUCCAAAGUGUAGAUCUAAGUUUAGUAGGCAGCGUA